UUUCUCGAUAGCUAGCACACUAUCGUGCGUGGCCUGUGAUCUCGUUCUACAAACACACAUGGAACAUGUACCAAUGUUUUUUUACACUAUUUCCGAGUAGGUUUUGUAGUCCAUCUCUACGAAAUGCAAUUUCUUGAUAUGAAAUGUUCAGCAGAUGUUCAGAUACUAUCGAUAGGGACAAAAAGUGACACCAAAACAUCGGUCUGAAGCUAGGUACUCGAUAAUGUACUUGUUCCUACUAUCGAUGGAUCGAUGCCGGUCUGGUCUCCUCUCUAGUUUGACAGCUGUAACUUUUCUCUAAGUUUCAUUUUUUCUUCACAAAAUCAAAAUUUCUUGUUUAGGCUUAAAAAAGUAUUCAAAUUUUGUUUGAAAUCAAUUGUCGGGGCGUGCCCGAGCCGCGUUGCGGCACUCCCCGGCGACAGUGAGGAAAAACCAUUGAAUAGGGUGCAUAUUUCAGCAGAAACAAAUCGAAAAGACGGUAAAACACGCCCGAAGCAAGGGCAGAUACAGGAGCGGGAUCUUGAUGGUGGGUUGGCCAUGUCCUCGAUUGCUUCAAGGCGACCAGAGCUGCAACAAUCGCCGCACAUCACCCUCGGGCAUCACCCAGAACACGCUGUAGAUCCUCGAUCGGUCGGUCAUAGAAGGCAACGGAAUGCGUAGUAAUGUUAACAUUCUGCAAAUUCUUGCUGCCCGUGAUGACUGAGACGCUGCGGUUGCUGGCAGCAUAUGUCGAAUGUAAUGGACCGCUGCAUCCAUGCUAUAAAGAUGUGCAUGCCAUCGCCCACCACAUGCUCUUUGAGGUCGAUGAAGCGGUUGGAAAUCACAGCCCGAGGGCCCACCUCAACAUUAUAUACAUUAUACGAUAUACGAUACACAAAUUUUCCAGCCAUAGCACACACAAAAAACCCAGUAGCCAUGUGACAUUUGUCUAUAACAAAAUACAAAAUGCCGAAAACCAAUUAUUAAUA